rnacentral:rRNA from 1 species
UACGAAGGGGGCUAGCGUUGUUCGGAAUUACUGGGCGUAAAGGGCUCGUAGGCGGCCAACUAAGUCGGAUGUGAAAUCCCCAGGCUUAACCUGGGAACUGCAUCCGAUACUGGAUGGCUUGAAUCCGGGAGAGGGAUGCAGAAUUCCAGGUGUAGCGGUGAAAUGCGUAGAUAUCUGGAGGAAUACCGGUGGCGAAGGCGGCAUCCUGGACCGGCAUUGACGCUGAGGGAGCGAAAGCCAGGGGAGCAAACGGG